ensembl:lncRNA
CUAAUGGUCAUUGAUUCGGGGUAAUGUCAAUCAUUGCGCUAAAGCUCUUUACCGACGCUGCACGUUAUUCUGCACGUUAACUCAUUCUGAGUUCAAUCUCUAGUCUAGAUGGUGUUCGAUUACUUUUGUUUUGCCUCGUGCAGCCUGUAGGGGAAUAGCGUGCUUGCCGUCUCCUCGGCCAUUUCAACUUUGGACUUCAACUCUCUAUACAGGUACGAACAGUGGUUGUGUAACUGUUUAUGUAUUUAUGUUUAAAUGCUAGGGAACAUGCCGAGAGUGUUAUAGCCGUGCAUCGAAAGUUUGAAAAAGUAGUUGGUUUGAAAACGGAGGAGUCGCUCUGCCGUAGCGUGCUUGCUAGCAGCAUCACACUGGCAGGCGCGUGUCCUGAAGCCAGUUCGUUGGUCAACAAAUUGGCCGUCAUCCGGCGGACCCUCACCUCUAGGGUAGUCCCUCCGAUAAUGGCGAGACGGGCAGUCUGGCAUAGUAUAACACAUUUGCAGGUGUCUCCUCUGCACGGUCCAGGGCCUCCAUGGUGUGGAGGGGCAGCUCCAAGGGCUCCAAGGAGGCCAGUCCCACAGACACAGUCUGUCCACACUUGCAGGAGUGGACGUAUUGCCUGAAUUCCUCCCGCAGGUCCUUCACCUCCUUGGACAACUCCGUCACCGCAGUCAGCAGUUUCUGCAUAGCCACAUCUAUUGACAAAGAAAAUAAUAACAUUUGAAUGUAAAAGCUGACGCCCUUUUACUUAAAAAUUUCAGAAAGUGUUGAACAACUUUUGAAGAGUUAUAUAUAUUUAAGCAAUGCCAUUGGUUUAAGCUAAUUGUUGAUAGAUGGUACAUCCUUCAAUGAUUCAAAGAAUUGAGGAAACAUUUACACAUGAAUGAAAGCCUAGAAAUAGCCUUAGAACAUAACAUUCCUGUACUUGCCUUUUAAUGCCAUUCUGGCAGUGCCUGGAGAAUCUGUAACAAGUAUGAAGAGAGAAAUUAAACCAUUUGACUGGAUAUACUGCAGUUGUUUUGGAUGUUUGAAUUGACAUGAAUUACUUCAAACAUACCUUCAGGAGAUGGCCUCUGGAAUUGAGGCAUUGGACCGGGUGGAGGGUAGGCCAAUUCAUCUCCUGGGAACGCUAUUGGGAUAGGGACAUUGGGGUUAGGGAAAUUGGGGCGUUGGAGGCUAUAAUGCAUCUUUGGAGGUGAUGGUUGGCUGUCCUGACUGGCUUGUUGGGUUGCUGGUUUGUCUAAAGAAAAAAAAAGAUGUGGGGGGCCGGGAAAGGUGGUUAGGGGCUGAUCUGUGCGUAAUAGACAGACAGAGAGACAGAGGCUAACUAUACCUGGAAAUAACACUUUGGGGGCUUGGGCGAAUCUGCAAGUUGUUAGUAGAAAUGAAAUAAAAAAUAUUGUUUUGCUUACUUUGUGUGCAAUAGUGAUCUGUAAGAGAACAGAAAAGACAAAAGUCAGUGUUAACAGCAAUUUAAAUACAGAUACAUUGUGAUUGUACUUUAUACAUAUGUACUCGGGUAACCAAAAGGUUUCCCCCAUAAUAUUCCCCCAAUAUUUGUAUCUGCUGUAUCUUGUAUACGGUGCGUUCACAACAAACGCGACGGGGCGACAAGAUCCUC